GUCCUUUUUCUAUUUUUUUCAUUUUUAUACGAGCGCAAAAAAAAUUUUGUGGUCGUAUAUUGGUAUGACGUUGGCGUCGUCGUCAUCGUCGUCGUCGUCGUCGUCGUCUGAAGACACAUUAGUUUUCGCACUCUAACUUAAGUUUAAGUGAAUGGAUCUCAAUGAAAUUUUACCAUAAGGUUCAAUACCACAAAAGGAAGGUGGGGAUUGAUUUUGGUGGUUAUGGUACCAACAGUUAAGGAAUUAGGGGCCAAAAAGGGGUCAAAAAUAAGCAUUUUUGUAACUUCCAGACAUAACUUGUGUGUAAGUGUAUGGAUCUCUCUGACAUUGUACCACAAGGUUCCAUAUCACAAAGGGAAUGCUGGGAUUGAUUUUGGGGCUAAUUGCCUCCAAAUUUUAGGAAUUAGGGGCCAAAAAGGGGCAAAAAACAAGCAUUUUUCUAGUUUCAUGACAAUAACUUGUGUGUAAGUGUAUGGAUCUUUAUGAAAUUGUACUACAAGGUUCCAUAUCACAAAGGGAAAGCUGGAAUUGAGUUUGGGGGUAAUUGACCAAAAAGCUUAGGAAGAAAGGGCCAAAAAGGGACCAAAAAUAAGCAUUUUUCUAGUUUCUAGACAAUAACUUGUGUUCAAGUGUAUGGAUCUCUCUGAAAUUGUACUGCAAGGUAUCAUACCACAAAGGGAAGGCUGGGAUUGAUUUUGGGGGUAAUUCCCUCAAAAUUUUAGGAAUUAGGGGCCAUAAAAGGGCAGAAAAACAAGCAUUUUUCUAGUUCCAGGACAAUAACUUGUGUGUAAGUGUAUGGAUCUUUAUGAAAUUGUACUGCAAGGUUCCAUAUCACAAAGGGAAAGCUGGGUUUGAGUUUGGGGGUAAUUGCCCUAAACGUUUAUGAAUUUGGGGCCAAAAAACAAGCAUUUUUCUAGUUUCCAGACAAUAACUUGUGUUCAAGUGUAUGGAUCUUUCUGAAAUUGUACUGCAAGGUACCAUACCACAAAGGGAAGGCUGGGAUUGAGUUUUGGGGUGAUGAAUCAUAAGGGGGUUCAAAAAAUUUGGGGGGGGGGAUUUUUUUUUUUUUUUUCCUUUUUUUCUGUUUUUCCUUUUUUUUUUUUUUUUAAAUUUUCCAUUUUAAGUUGGUUAUUUCUGUUUUAUAUUUAAAAGCAAAUAAUAAUGAUAUGGUAGGAGAUACUCACCAAACAGGAUGUGUAAAUUAUUAUAUAAUAAGUAUUGUGCAAUAGCAAGAAAUUUUCAAUUGCACAGUAUUGCACAAUAGCAAGAAAUCUUCAAUUGCACAGUAUUGCGCAAUAGCAAGAACUCUUCAAUUGCACAGUAUUGUGCAAUAGCAAGAAAUAUCCAAUAGCACAAUAUUGCACAAUAGCAAGAAAUUGUCAAUUGUACAGUAUUGCGCAAUAGCAAGAAAUAUUCAAUUGCACAGUAUUGUGCAAAAGAAGAUACUUCGUAUAAAUUGCUUAUUUCUUGACCAAUUUCAAUGGGGUUUUAUUCUUGAAUUCUUUGGGUUCUUUAAUAUGCUGAUUCUAACCGUGUAUUAAGUUUUUGGAUUUUGGGCCCCGUUUUUAAAUUGGUCCACAUUGAGGUCCAAAGGGUCCAAAAUUAAACUUUGUUUGAUUUCAUCAAAAAUUGAAAUAUUGGGGUUCUUUGAUAUGCCGAAUCUAGCCGUGUAUUUAGAUUCGUAAUUUUUGGUUCCGUUUUCAAAUUGGUCUACAUUAAGGUCCAAAGGGUCCAAAAUUUAACUCAGUUUGAUUUUAACAAAAAUUGAAUUCUUAGGGUUCUUUGAUAUGCUGAAUCUAAACAUGUAUUUAGAUUUUUGAUUAUGGGCCCAGUUUUCAAGUUGGUCCAAAUCGGGGUCCAAAAUUAAACUUUGUUUGAUUUCAACAAAAAUUGAAUAUAUGGGGUUCUUUAAUAUGCUGAUUCUAACCGUGUAUUAAGUUUUUUGGAUUUUGGGCCCCGUUUUUAAAUUGGUCCACAUUGAGGUCCAAAGGGUCCAAAAUUAAACUUUGUUUGAUUUCAUCAAAAAUUGAAAUAUUGGGGUUCUUUGAUAUGCCGAAUCUAACCGUGUAUUUAGAUUCUUAAUUUUUAGUUCCGUUUUCAAAUUGGUCUACAUUAAGGUCCAAAGGGUCCAAAAUUUAACUUAGUUUGAUUUUAACAAAAAUUGAAUUCUUAGGGUUCUUUGAUAUGCUGAAUCUAAACAUGUAUUUAGAUUUUUGAUUAUGGGCCCAGUUUUCAAGUUGGUCCAAAUCAGGGUCCAAAAUUAAACUUUGUUUGAUUUCAACAAAAAUUGAAUAUAUGGGGUUCUUUGAUAUGCUGAAUCUAACCAUGUAUUUAGAUUUUUGAUUUUUGGGCCCCAUUAUCAACUUUGUCCACAUUGAGGUGAAAAGGGUCCAAAAUUAAACUUUGUUUGAUUUCAUCAAAAAUUGAAUUCUUGGGGUUCUUUGAUAUGCUGAAUCUAACCAUGUAUUUAGAUUUUGGAUAUUGGACCAUAAUAGGUGAAUGUUCAAUUUAAAAUUUUAAGUUCUUAGACCACAUUCAUUCUGUGUCAGAAACCUAUGCUGUGUCAAAUAUUUAAUCACAAUCCAAAUUCAGAGCUGUAUCAAGCUUGAAUGUUGUGUCCAUACUUGCCCAACUGUUCAGGGUUCGACCUCUGCGGUCGUAUCAAGCUGCGCCCUGCGGAGCAUUUU